UGAAUAGAGAGUUUGAUCCUGGCUCAGGACGAACGCUGGCGGCGCGCCUAACACAUGCAAGUCGAACGGUCUCGAACACGAGACAGAGCACACUUGAAUUUUAGUGAGUUGUGUCUUGUGGUCGAGAUAGUGGCGGACGGGUGAGUAACACGUGAGCAACCUACCUAUCGGAGGGGGAUAGCGUCUGGAAACGGACGGUAAUACCGCAUGAUGUACAAAGAUCGCAUGGUCUUUGUAUGAAAGGAGAAAUCUGCCGAUAGACGGGCUCGCGUCCAAUUAGGUAGUUGGUGAGGUAAUGGCCCACCAAGCCUGCGAUUGGUAGCCGGACUGAGAGGUUGAUCGGCCACAUUGGGACUGAGACACGGCCCAGACUCCUACGGGAGGCAGCAGUGGGGGAUAUUGCACAAUGGAGGGAACUCUGAUGCAGCGACGCCGCGUGAGGGAAGACGGUUUUCGAAUUGUAAACCUCUGUCUCUGGGGACGAGUAGAAGACGGUACCCAGGGAGGAAGCCACGGCUAACUACGUGCCAGCAGCCGCGGUAAUACGUAGGUGGCAAGCGUUGUCCGGAUUUAUUGGGUGUAAAGGGAGUGUAGGCGGGCGUUCAAGUUGAUUGUAAAAGUUCACGGCUCAACCGUGUGAGGCGAUCAAAACUGAACGUCUUGAGUGAAGGAGAGGCAGUUAGAAUUCCUAGUGUAGCGGUGGAAUGCGUAGAUAUUAGGAGGAAUACCAGUGGCGAAGGCGGACUGCUGGACUUUAACUGACGCUGAGGCUCGAAAGCGUGGGGAGCAAACAGGAUUAGAUACCCUGGUAGUCCACGCUGUAAACGAUGAUUACUAGGUGUGGGUGUGAGGAGCAUCUGUGCCGGAGUUAACACAAUAAGUAAUCCACCUGGGGAGUACGACCGCAAGGUUGAAACUCAAAGGAAUUGACGGGGGCCCGCACAAGCAGUGGAGUAUGUGGUUUAAUUCGAAGCAACACGAAGAACCUUACCAGGUCUUGACAUCUGAGGAACUGGGUAGAGAUACCUGGGUGCCCUUCGGGGAACCGAAAGACAGGUGGUGCAUGGUCGUCGUCAGCUCGUGUCGUGAGAUGUUGGGUUAAGUCCCGCAACGAGCGCAACCCUUGCUGUUAGUUACUACGAGAAGAGGACUCUAGCAGGACUGCCGUUGACAAAACGGAGGAAGGUGGGGAUGAUGUCAGAUCAUCAUGCCCUUUAUGACCUGGGCAACACACGUACUACAAUGGCCACAACAAAGGGAUGCAAACCCGCGAGGGUGAGCGAAACGUGAAAAAUGGUCACAGUUCGGAUUGUAGGCUGCAACUCGCCUACAUGAAGUCGGAAUUGCUAGUAAUCGCGAAUCAGAAAGUCGCGGUGAAUACGUUCCCGGGCCUUGUACACACCGCCCGUCACACCAUGAGAGUCGGUAAUACCUGAAGUCAGUAUCAUAACCGCAAGGGGUGAGCUGCCGAAGGUAGGAUUGAUAAUUGGGGUGAAGUCGUAACAAGGUAGCCGUAUCGGAAGGUGCGGCUGGAUCACCUCCUUU
rnacentral:rRNA from 1 species